CCUACGUGCGGCAGCAGUGGGGAAUAUUGCGCAAUGGGCGAAAGCCUGACGCAGCGACGCCGCGUGAGGGAUGAAGGUCUUCGGAUCGUAAACCUCUGUCAGCAGGGAAGAACGGUCACUGUGCUAAUCAGCAGUGAAUUGACGGUACCUGCAAAGGAAGCACCGGCUAACUCCGUGCCAGCAGCCGCGGUAAUACGGAGGGUGCGAGCGUUAAUCGGAAUUACUGGGCGUAAAGCGCUCGUAGGCGGUAUGUCAAGUCAAGGGUGAAAUCCCCGCGCUCAACGUGGGAACUGCCUUUGAAACUGGCAAACUGGAGUGUGUGAUAGGAUAGUGGAAUUCCAGGUGUAGGAGUGAAAUCCGUAGAUAUCUGGAGGAACAUCAGUGGCGAAGGCGACUAUCUGGCACAUAACUGACGCUGAGGAGCGAAAGCGUGGGUAGCAAACAGGAUUAGAUACCCUAGUAGUC
rnacentral:rRNA from 1 species